AGUGCUCCUGGCGAUAUAGAAACUUCCACGGAAAUGGCGGAAUUCAUUACCCAUUGAACUUUAACUAAUUUGGAGCAGCUUUGCCUGCGAAAGCGAUUGUUCUACAUUUAGCGAGAAUUUAAUUAAAACUUGUAUGCCAGUUAUGUUUUCUGGUCGAAACAUCAGUUUGAUCUUUUUACUUUUUAUCAUCGCAGCUUACAUUUUAUAUAUACUCCACGGAAUUGUUUCAUAUGUAAAGUUAUUCAUUUGUCUGUUCUACUGUUUGAGUUGUGAUAUGCUAAGCUUGGUUAUAUCACUAUCAACUUACGUGCAGUCCAAUACUUGUCAUACAUGGAUUCUUGCAGCUGGAUCUUAAUUAAAGCCGGAUGAAACACACCCACCACUAGACCGCCUCCUUUAUUGUUAACAAUUACAAAAGCAAGGCCGAAGCCGCGCAAUCUCCAGCAACACAUGCAGAUACAUUUGUGCAUGUAGAUACGGGUGUAUCUGUGAUGCUAUUCAAACUUAUUGGAGCGCUUCCUUUUGAUGGCGUUCUGGUUGACUCUUCAAUGGCGAAACACUUUUUAGUUGAAUGAAGCUAGUGAAUGCACAUAUUUUGGGUUGCAUAUAAAAAAUCCUACGAUGAUUCACUGCCCCUAUUUAUUUUGGUGUUAAUUAACGAAGUGGCGAAUGGCAUUCAUUGAUAAAAGUGUAUAACGAUUUUUAUUUCACAUACAAAAUGACUGCAUUUGUAAAUAAAAUAUCA
rnacentral:misc_RNA from 1 species